GACGAACGCUGGCGGCGUGCUUAACACAUGCAAGUCGAACGGAAAGGCCCUGCUUUUGUGGGGUGCUCGAGUGGCGAACGGGUGAGUAACACGUGAGUAACCUGCCCUUGACUUUGGGAUAACUUCAGGAAACUGGGGCUAAUACCGGAUAGGAGCUCCUGCUGCAUGGUGGGGGUUGGAAAGUUUCGGCGGUUGGGGAUGGACUCGCGGCUUAUCAGCUUGCUGGUGGGGUAGUGGCUUACCAAGGCUUUGACGGGUAGCCGGCCUGAGAGGGUGACCGGCCACAUUGGGACUGAGAGACGGCCCAGACUCCUACGGGAGGCAGCAGUGGGGAAUAUUGCACAAUGGGCGGAAGCCUGAUGCAGCAACGCCGCGUGCGGGAUGACGGCCUUCGGGUUGUAAACCGCUUUCGCCUGUGACGAAGCGUGAGUGACGGUAAUGGGUAAAGAAGCACCGGCUAACUACGUG
rnacentral:rRNA from 1 species